UUAUUUAUUUGCCUACAAUUAUUAAUUCCAUGACAAAAUUUUCAAAGAAAUAUUUUUAUAAUGUUAAUAACAUUACUGAGUAUAAUAUUUUUAUAUCGUUAUAGUAAGUAUUAUCGAUAUAUUAAAUAACCUUUCAAAUAUUAUUUGAAGAACUUAUCAAUUUUGUGUAAUUGUGUAAUUGUGUGAUAUAGAAGAAUUAUUAAUCUUAUCAUUAUAUAUUUCUAAAAUUUCGAAUGCGGCUACGGCACAAGAUGCUAAUACAAAUUUAAUAUAUUUUGAUAAAUCAAAUAAGAGCCUUUAUGAAAUAUAUCCUGUAUUGAUUUCACCAAAUUGGGUAAAUACAUCUAUACAUAUAUAUGUUACAAAUUUGCCUAAAAGAUACAUUGUUAUUAGAUAAAUUACAGUCGCAUAUAAGCGAUUGUAACAAUUAUCCUUGUAUGUUUUCGAAAGUCAUCGAAAAUGAAUCAAUGAAAUCUGUUAUAUCUAUAAUACGAAAUGAUACAAUGGAUGAUAUAUUCAAUCAAGAAUUCAAACAAAGUAUACAAGAUUGUUUAAUAUGGUGGAAAUUAUUCAAACAUUUUAACAAGAAUGCAAAUCCUCGUCGCGAAUUAGGAAGAUGCUUGUUUCAAACGUUCUCAUCUAAAUGCAGAGAAUCCGUUUUGGAUAAAGUAAAAUUACUGUUAAUUACCACAAAAGAAGAAUAAAAUAUUAUCUAAAUUGAAGUAUAAGGAUAAUUGGAAAAUAUGGAUAAAUGGAAAAAGA